GAUGAACGCUGGCGGCGUGCUUAACACAUGCAAGUCGAACGGGAUCCAGGCAGCUUGCUGCCUGGUGAGAGUGGCGAACGGGUGAGUAAUGCGUGACCGACCUGCCCCAUACACCGGAAUAGCUCCUGGAAACGGGUGGUAAUGCCGGAUGCUCCGACUCCUCGCAUGGGGUGUCGGGAAAGAUUAUAUCGGUAUGGGAUGGGGUCGCGUCCUAUCAGGUAGUCGGCGGGGUAACGGCCCACCGAGCCUACGACGGGUAGCCGGCCUGAGAGGGCGACCGGCCACAUUGGGACUGAGAUACGGCCCAGACUCCUACGGGAGGCAGCAGUGGGGAAUAUUGCACAAUGGGCGCAAGCCUGAUGCAGCGACGCCGCGUGCGGGAUGACGGCCUUCGGGUUGUAAACCGCUUUUGAUCGGGAGCAAGCCUUCGGGUGAGUGUACCUUUCGAAUAAGCACCGGCU
rnacentral:rRNA from 1 species